UACGAAGGGGGCUAGCGUUGUUCGGAAUUACUGGGCGUAAAGCGCACGUAGGCGGGUUUGUAAGUAGGGGGUGAAAUCCCAGGGCUCAACCCUGGAACUGCCUUCUAAACUGCAAGCCUGGAGGUCAGGAGAGGCGAGUGGAAUACCGAGUGUAGAGGCGAAAAUUCGUAGAUAUUCGGUGGAACACCAGUGGCGAAGGCGACUCGCUGGACUGAUACUGACGCUGAGGUGCGAAAGCGUGGGGAGCAAACAGG
rnacentral:rRNA from 1 species